rnacentral:tmRNA from 1 species
GCCCUUCCAAUCUCCCUCGCCCGCCCCUAUAUUCGCUUUGCCAGCUUGCUGGCUAUGGCGAUAAACUGCCGAUGAAAUAAGCCGUUCGGACCCGGGGGCGGUACCCGGCGCCUCCACCACAAUCCGCCGCCAGAUGGCGGAUUUUGCUGGGGGCGAAAUAGGAUCGACGAAGGUGUAAAGAUCGGACUUUUGCCCGGCAUAGUACCACCGUCAUCGGGCUAAACCUGUAGUUGCAAAUGACAACUAUGCGGAAGCACGUCUCGCAGCGUAAGCUGUGCGAUAGCUUCAAAUCAAGUCCUAGCGGUUCGCACUUCUAGGCGGGGUUCGGAGGUACCUGGCAACAGAAACCUCCACU